UACGUAGGGGCCUAGCGUUGUUCGGAUUUACUGGGCGUAAAGGGCGCGUAGGCGGCCACGACAAGUCACUUGUGAAAUCUCCGGGCUUAACCCGGAACGGUCAAGUGAUACUGUCGGGCUAGAGUGCAGAAGGGGCAACUGGAAUUCUCGGUGUAGAGGUGAAAUUCGUAGAUAUUAGGAAGAACACCAGUGGCGAAGGCGGCUCACUGGUCCGGUACUGACGCUGAGGUGCGAAAGCGUGGGGAGCAAACAGG
rnacentral:rRNA from 1 species